UACGGAGGGGGCCAGCGUUGUUCGGAAUCAUUGGGCGUAAAGGGCGCCUAGGCGGCUGCGCAAGUCGGACGUGAAAGCCCCCGGCUCAACUGGGGAACUGCAUCCGAAACUGCGCGGCUUGAGGCCUGGAGAGGGUAGCGGAAUUCCCAGUGUAGCGGUGAAAUGCGUAGAUACUGGGAGGAACACCGGUGGCGAAGGCGGCUACCUGGACAGGUUCUGACGCUGAAGCGCGAAAGCGUGGGGAGCAAACAGG
rnacentral:rRNA from 1 species